rnacentral:rRNA from 1 species
UUGAACGCUGGCGGCAGGCCUAACACAUGCAAGUCGAACGGUAACAGGAAGAAGCUUGCUUCUUUGCUGACGAGUGGCGGACGGGUGAGUAAUGUCUGGGAAACUGCCUGAUGGAGGGGGAUAACUACUGGAAACGGUAGCUAAUACCGCAUAACGUCGCAAGACCAAAGAGGGGGACCUUCGGGCCUCUUGCCAUCGGAUGUGCCCAGAUGGGAUUAGCUAGUAGGUGGGGUAACGGCUCACCUAGGCGACGAUCCCUAGCUGGUCUGAGAGGAUGACCAGCCACACUGGAACUGAGACACGGUCCAGACUCCUACGGGAGGCAGCAGUGGGGAAUAUUGCACAAUGGGCGCAAGCCUGAUGCAGCCAUGCCGCGUGUAUGAAGAAGGCCUUCGGGUUGUAAAGUACUUUCAGCGGGGAGGAAGGGAGUAAAGUUAAUACCUUUGCUCAUUGACGUUACCCGCAGAAGAAGCACCGGCUAACUCCGUGCCAGCAGCCGCGGUAAUACGGAGGGUGCAAGCGUUAAUCGGAAUUACUGGGCGUAAAGCGCACGCAGGCGGUUUGUUAAGUCAGAUGUGAAAUCCCCGGGCUCAACCUGGGAACUGCAUCUGAUACUGGCAAGCUUGAGUCUCGUAGAGGGGGGUAGAAUUCCAGGUGUAGCGGUGAAAUGCGUAGAGAUCUGGAGGAAUACCGGUGGCGAAGGCGGCCCCCUGGACGAAGACUGACGCUCAGGUGCGAAAGCGUGGGAAGCAAACAGGAUUAGAUACCCUGGUAGUCCACGCCGUAAACGAUGUCGACUUGGAGGUUGUGCCCUUGAGGCGUGGCUUCCGGAGCUAACGCGUUAAGUCGACCGCCUGGGGAGUACGGCCGCAAGGUUAAAACUCAAAUGAAUUGACGGGGGCCCGCACAAGCGGUGGAGCAUGUGGUUUAAUUCGAUGCAACGCGAAGAACCUUACCUGGUCUUGACAUCCACGGAAGUUUUCAGAGAUGAGAAUGUGCCUUCGGGAACCGUGAGACAGGUGCUGCAUGGCUGUCGUCAGCUCGUGUUGUGAAAUGUUGGGUUAAGUCCCGCAACGAGCGCAACCCUUAUCCUUUGUUGCCAGCGGUCCGGCCGGGAACUCAAAGGAGACUGCCAGUGAUAAACUGGAGGAAGGUGGGGAUGACGUCAAGUCAUCAUGGCCCUUACGACCAGGGCUACACACGUGCUACAAUGGCGCAUACAAAGAGAAGCGACCUCGCGAGAGCAAGCGGACCUCAUAAAGUGCGUCGUAGUCCGGAUUGGAGUCUGCAACUCGACUCCAUGAAGUCGGAAUCGCUAGUAAUCGUGGAUCAGAAUGCCACGGUGAAUACGUUCCCGGGCCUUGUACACACCGCCCGUCACACCAUGGGAGUGGGUUGCAAAAGAAGUAGGUAGCUUAACCUUCGGGAGGGCGCUUACCACUUUGUGAUUCAUGACUGGGGUG